rnacentral:rRNA from 1 species
CCUACGGGAGGCAGCAGUGAGGAAUAUUGGUCAAUGGGCGCGAGCCUGAACCAGCCAAGUCGCGUGAGGGAGGACGGCCCUACGGGUUGUAAACCUCUUUUGCCGGGGAGCAACGGGCGUCACGUGUGGCGCCACUGAGAGUACCCGGAGAAAAAGCAUCGGCUAACUCCGUGCCAGCAGCCGCGGUAAUACGGGGGAUGCGAGCGUUAUCCGGAUUUAUUGGGUUUAAGGGGUGCGUAGGCGGAUCGUUAAGUCAGUGGUCAAAUUGAGGGGCUCAACCCCUUCCCGCCAUUGAAACUGGCGUUCUUGAGUGGAAGAGAGGUAGGCGGAAUGCGUGGUGUAGCGGUGAAAUGCAUAGAGAUCACGCAGAACACCGAUGGCGAAGGCAGCAUGCCGGCUUCCGACUGACGCUGAAGCACGAAAGCGUGGGGAUCGAACAGGAUUAGAUACCCCUGUAGUC